ACAGAGGGGGCGGACGUAGC
rnacentral:tRNA from 1 species